CCUACGGGGUGCAGCAGUGGGGAAUAUUGGGCAAUGGGCGCAAGCCUGACCCAGCAACGCCGCGUGAAGGAAGAAGGCUUUCGGGUUGUAAACUUCUUUUGUCAGGGACGAAGCAAGUGACGGUACCUGACGAAUAAGCCACGGCUAACUACGUGCCAGCAGCCGCGGUAUUCCGUAGGUGGCAAGCGUUAUCCGGAUUUAUUGGGUGUAAAGGGCGUGUAGGCGGGAAUGCAAGUGAGAUGUGAAAACUAGGGGCUCAACCCAUAGCCUGCAUUUGAAACUGUAUUUCUUGAGUGCUGGGGAGGCAAUCGGAAUUCCGUGUGUAGCGGUGAAAUGCGUAGAUAUAAGGAGGAACACCAGUGGCGAAGGCGGAUUGCUGGACAGUAACUGACGCUGAGGCGCGAAAGCGUGGGGAGCAAACAGGAUUAGAUACCCUUGUAGUC
rnacentral:rRNA from 1 species